CCGCCCCUGCCGCCCUGGCCCUGCGCCCGCUCCCGCCUCCCCCGCUGCUGGGGUCUCCUCGGCACUCGCUGCUCCAGACUCGGGGUGAAGCUCUUGCGUGCGGGAGCCCAGUUUCUUCAGGAACCACCCGGAGCAAGAGGGAGGGUCUUUCACCCAACAGUACGUGGGUGAGGCGAUCCACAGGCUUGGCUGUGGCCAGAGGCUGGUGAUUUCACUGCAUAGAGUAUUCCACUCAAUGCCAAACUGUCUCCUCCAGGCGGAGAAAGAGCAUCUAGAUGCCUCCAUGCCCCAGGGCCACGCAGGCAGAGCGGGUCACCUGGAGGUGCCCCUGCAGUGGGAACCAGUAUGUCCAGAGCGGCUGCCUCCUCACGCCCUCUGGGACCUGCGUGGGAAGAGCAGAGCCAUUGAAGCCCAAGCACGGAGGAGGCUCUUUCCUUAGUGACACCCCCCAGGGAGUGCUGCACGGACUCAGAUGUGACAAAGUGCAGAUGGAAACCAGGAGGCCCUACCGAGGCGCCACUCACUGGUGGCCUAGCUAAAGAUUUAUCAGUGCUGACACAGCCCCGGCCGCCCGGUAAGCCUGCGCGGAAGCGGCGCGCCGGAAAAACAGACGCGGAGCGGGAUUGUGCGGGGAAAGCGGCGCGGAUU